CGUGUCUAGGGUUUCUCUCUCCUCCGAACUUUGCCCUUUAUCUUUUCCUCGUCCUUUUUCCAUUCCUCCUCUGAUUCCCUUUUUUUUUUUUUUUCUUAGGAGGAAUUGUACUCAAAUUUUAUCUUAUUUUUGUUUAAAUUUUGACGAAUCUGCUAUGUUUAAAGAUACCAUACAGAUCCGAAGUUUUUUAGUAUUGUGGACGAUCGAUUCUGCAAUUGGUCUCGCCGUACGGACGCGGUUCCGAGAUCAAAGCGCUAGAUCUACGGGAAUUGGGGGGCACUAGAAGGUCUAUAUGCGGUGAUUCGUGUAAUACUUUUCUACGCGGACGCUCAUGGAUGUGGACGAUGCUGUGAAUUGUAAGCUUUGUCGCAUGAUUUGAUUAUUAAGUAUAAAAUUCUCCUAUUAUGUAGGGAGAAGGGGUUACUAGGGUUUCAUCGAGGGCGAGGUAAAUAUUGGUAUUACAAUGGUAUUUAUUUGUGUCUUUUUCCUCUUUUUGUUUUUUUGUUGUACUCGGUUUCCUUUGUUCUACUACCGACCUUUGCCAUGUUGGGUGCGCUCGCAUGGCAGGUCACCAAAACCCUAAUAAAAUUUUCUUUUUUGCGUGUGUUUUGGGGAGGAUCGUAUGGGUGGGUUAUUUUAAAACCCAGGUUCCUCCCCACUUGUUGGUGCCUCCUCCUCUUUUUUUCCCUUUUCCUUUUCUCUUGAUGGCUCUUUACAGUUUUUACAUCAGCAGCACGAGGAGCUCCUCUGAAUACAGGUUGUGAUGCGAGGUACAAUCGAUUUUUACUUGUAAAGAAGCGUAGAGAUCCUUCCUCAAUUAUAGGCCAUUUUGGAACAGGCUUUUAAUUUGAGUUUUUUCCCCUAGAUUUUAGUUAGAGAUUUUUUAAUUAGAGAUUUGUUAAAAUUAAUAGUCCCUUCAUCUAUCAGGUGUUAAGAAUUAAAAGAAUGUUAAAUUGUCAAAAUCCCUGUGAUAUUUUAUAGAAAUAACUCGGAUUAGAAGGACCCACAAAAAAAAAAAAAAAAUCAAACUGUUGAUUAAGAGGAAAUUAGUUGGGUUUAUUCUAAAAUGGCAUAUAGUUGAGGGGUCUUACUUCGUGCACAAGAGCAGCAUGAUUUUUUCCUCCCGGCCGUUGUUUCACCAAAAGUGAAUAGAUUUUUGGGUGAACUAGAGUUCAGAUGAAAUUUACUUUUAUUUGCUUGGAUAGCUGCGGAAUUGAAGUUUUUUAGUUCUAUUGUUUAUGUGGUAGGAAUAAAUGACGUAAAAGCUGGAGGUGUGAGAGAUGAGAGAUGAGUUAGUAUUUUAUUAUUUUGUUCUCAAGUCUUUUUCGUAAAUGAGAUUGGCCUCGGGUCGGCCGAAGUUUGUUGUGCUAUUUUGGGAAUUUUGAGUUUCGGCGGAAUGUGAAGUUACGGGUAACCAAACAAUGGAAGUGGGUAUUUGGCUGGAAACUAUUUCACCUCUCUCCACUUUCAGUGAAAUAAACACACUGUCAACGUUAACUUAUACGGCUUUAUUGUUUUGUCUCUAUGAUUCUGCAAUUAAUUAAUUUGACUAGUGCCAUUCCUAUUCCAUGUGAACAAUGAUCUAGUGUGAUUAGCUUCCUAAUUUUCCAUAUUUGCUUAAUAGCCUAUACAAAACUGAUUUCUACAAAUGGUCCUUGCCAAAUCUGGCAUUUUCUGAAUCUUUUCCACUUGCAGAACAUGGUAUAUUAUCUUUAGUAUUAUUUGAACCUCAUGUUCAAGUUAAAAGUGUCUAUCAGCAUGGUAUAUCAUAUUUGGUGUCUUUAAUGAUUAUGCUGAUCUUGCCCUUAUAUCACAUGAAGAGAGUUAUUUUGAUGUAAAAGUUGCCUAAUGUUAGGUGCACGUGUGAAAGUUUUUCAUGGGAAUGUGAGCAAAAGCCUAUCUCUUCUCCUGUGCGGUAAAUAACGGACAGUGAUCAAGCAAUGCCAUUCGGAAGAAUUUUGGUAACACCAUUUGGAAGUCACCUGUUUAAGUUCCUUGCACUGUGGGUAGUAUAGAUCCGCUGGCCUCAAAAUAUACACAGAGUGUAGGUGCAAUUAUGCCCAUAAGGGUCUGUCUGAUUAUCCCCAUUUUCUUUAUUUGAGCAGCCAUGUGUUUGGCGACAAAAGUAUCUGAAGCAUUUGGCAAAAUUGGGCUUUUGGCUCACAGAAAAAGCAACUAAUCUAAUUGGGGGCUAAAUUGGGCUUUUGGUUCAUAGAAAAGCAAUUAAUCUAAUUUGGAGCUUUUAUCUUUCACUUUACAGGGUGUUUGGUUGAUGGGAAUGUAUGAAGUGUGGAAGUAUGUUUCUUAGAACUCGAGUUCUGCACCCUGUUCUGCCUGAACUUAAAGACUCUUUUCUCAUGGUUUGGAAAUUUACUUCCACAGACCAGUCAUUUGACUCCCACAGGGACAUGCACAAAGGUUUUUGACAUUUCAUUCUCACUAUAUAUAACCUUAGAAUGUCUCACCAUAUUUAACCUGAGAAUGAUACUAUUGAGAGCAUUCUAUUUAAAGGUUGUUGUAACUCGGGAAAAAAAAAACUUCUGCUCAUGCAACUCUUGUGCAAAAGCUAUCGAUAACUCUACUCAAGAUAUUGCAGUGUUAAGAAGCUAUCAUGGUCGAAAAGCUGAUUGACCUUGUAACUGUCAUUUCUGCUUUCGUUCCUUUCAUAUCGUAUGGCUGGUUUUCUUCUUACAUCUAACAUCUCUGUGAAAUGUGCAUCUCUGCCUUUUUUUUUUACUUGUAUCGUCUUUGUUAUCAAUUGUAUUGUGAGUUUUUGUAGUGACUUUUAUAUUGUAGUUUACUCUAUAAAUGUUUUCUGUAUCGGUUGUUGAGCUCGGUACAGUCGGCUGGACUAUAUAUUUUGUACUUCUUAGUCUCACAUCAGCUUGGUGUAAUCAACAACGAGGGAGAAGGAGCUUUUCAGCGACAGUCUUGGUGCACAGAAUUAUGCUUGUUGCUGUAAAAUAAAUUCGCUGCAUGUACCUGAUAAUUAUAAACAGGAUUGAUCACUCCAAGGUGGUAUUGCACAAGUGGAUGAAAGAUUCUACUGUUAUUGGGGUGCGCCGGAUGGAUGGAUGAAAUUUCUACGAUCAUAGUUCAAUGUUAGAGACACAGCUAUAUGGGUAUUGCAUGAGUUUAAACUUUCUUAUCCAAGAAAUUGUUGAUCGAGGCCCUUUCAUCCUAUGUGGUCCAAUUCUAUCGAGGUGGAUCAGGAAGACAUGAGGUCAUCUUUGUCGUAGCUGGUGGCUUGUUGCAAUCUUUGUUAUGAUCAGAUAUUUUUUUUGUCUCCAGAUAAUCUUAUGCUCCUCUCCGUAGAUGGAGGUGGCUAUAACUUCCAAGGUUAUUUGUGCAUGCUUCAUCUCAAGAACUACGGAUACUGCAUGUGGAUCAUGAAGUUAGCUCAUUGUUUAUUGGUAGAUAUACACCUGCGGUCUCUUGUUCGACUAGUUAAGAGAACUGGAUAUUGGUCAUGCGGUGAGGAUGCUAUCAUUUGUUUUUUGUUAUUGGUUUCUCUCUGUUUUUUCUUGUGUUGGAAACUAGAUUUGAAUGUGGUUUUUAAGGUGGGAUUUCACGAGGGGUAAGAAGGUUUGUUACUGGUUUUGGAUUUGGUAGACCAGUUGGAUGCGCCUAUAAGGCAAAUCAUCAAACCCCAAUAAAUUUCCUUUUUUGUAUGCUUUGAUUCAGUUGAAA